UACGUAGGGUGCGAGCGUUAAUCGGAAUUACUUGGCGUAAAGCGUGCGCAGGCGGUUUUGUAAGCCAGAUGUGAAAUCCCCGGGCUCAACCUGGGAAUGGCAUUUGGGACUGCAAGGCUCGAGUGCGGCAGAGGAGACUGGAAUUCCUGGUGUAGCAGUGAAAUGCGUAGAUAUCAGGAGGAAUACCGAUGGCGAAGGCAGGUCUCUGGGCUGACACUGACGCUCAUGCACGAAAGCGUGGGGAGCAAACAGG
rnacentral:rRNA from 1 species